UUUCUUACAGGGAUGAGGAGUCGGAUGCUAUUAUGUAUUAUACUCUCGCUAGUACAGCGAUCUUACAUCUGAAGCCCUUAAAUAACUUGAACAUUCUUGAAAAUCAAGCUGUUAUUGACAACUCGAGGAUUGCUUCGCUGCUUGCACUUUUCAUGUCAGAUCAUUUUGGAACAGCAAUAGAAGUGCUAUUGUAGAAAGGACACGGAAGUCUGUGUCUGCUUCAAAGUACAAGAAGCCUUAUGUAUGUGCUCAACUGGGAGCAGCACUGAUAUAAGUGUAUCUGCUAGAUAAGUUGUUGAUACCAUAGAGAAUAUUACUCUCUCCAACAUCUCAUAGUUCCAAUUAGAGCUGAGCAGUUCGGUGGUGCAGACAUAAAACCUGCUUUUCAAGGUAUCAUUGUUGUGUUUAUUCCAAAUUUUUGUACGUAAACCUUUCUGCUGGAACUCUUCCAUUACCUAUCAUAUGAUCUGAUACAAUUCUAUUGUUUUGAAGUAUUUAUGCGAUCACAUUGAGGCCCCUAUAUCUUAUGAGAUUUUAAGAGAUUACAUGGAUUUUUUAGCACGUGCAUGGAAUAUCAUCCUCAUUAAGAGGGGGUGAUAUAUGCAUCAGGAUGCUUGCUGAUGCUUGUAGUUGUAGACCACAUGAUAUAAGAGAAUAGAAUGAUCCUGAGUGCUUUUGCAGGUGUAUACCUCUUUGUCGAAUCAAAAUUCCUCUUUCAACUGGAGGAAAUCUUGAUCUUGGUUGUUCCUUUCCAUCUUUCUCUGCUUGUGUCAAAUUCAACUACUUUAGUUAGGUGAAGGUAUGUUACCGAAGUCCUGCUGGAGGUUGAAUCUUGUGCCAAGAGUGUGAUUUUUUUUUAAUCACUCUAGUUGAUUAGUGGGUGGUUUUGGGAGGUGGAUUAUUUGCUUAUUCAGUCGCUAACUCAUUUAUUUCCUGUUUCAGAUAUAGGUGUUCUUUUCCCACUAGUUAUUUAAAUUGUGUUAGUGUAGUUUCAUAUACAUGUUUUUGCAUGAUACUGAAGGUGCGUACUUUGGAAGUUCAGGAUAGUUCAGCCUACAGGAUAAAAAAUUUGGUAACAUAACUUUUUGGGAGAAGCAAGAGUUCUAGGUACUCUGGACCACCCUUGCAUAGUAGAAAUUGAUGGACACCAAAUUCUUGCCCAUUGGAAACUCUCUGCGGAUGAGGAUGUCAAGCGUAGUGUUUUUUUAUGAAUGUGGAUGGAGGGUCCUUAAAAGUAAGAUUUCUUAUAGCAAUUGCUAUUAAUACUGACAUAUUGUCUGUUGUUUAACUAAAUUUUUGCACUUUUUUAACUAUUUUUUUUUUUUAAAUCCCCCUAACAGAACUAUCUCAAGAAGCUAUCAGAAGCGGGUAAAAUAUUGGAUUUGGCUUUAUAUAAAGACGUUAUUUGUGCUCUGUCCCAGCUGCACUCAAGGCAUAUAUUUUUGCUUUUUGGUUUGAAAUGUGCAUAGUUGUAUGAAUGUUGAUGCAACAUAAAAAACAAUUUUGUAUUUUGUGACGGCACAGCACUGACUCGUGUUGUCACAUAGAAGCUAACAUUUGGUCAUUUGGAUGUUCACUCCUUGAGAUGCUGACUCUGCAAAAUUCCAUAUUAUACACAAGAUAUUCUACAAGAUGCAACCACUUAACCGUGUUAACUAGGCUAUAUCUUAGGUUGGGUGUCCCUUGUUCUCUCAAAAUUUAUUCCUCAAUCGGGUGGUAUCAUUAGAAUCAUGAUAUAUGCAUUCUUUUUCAUUUUCAUUGUAAGUAUUAGGCCUUAAUGUUAGGCCUUAACAGUCUAUGAGUAGAUGAUAGAAACACAAACUUGCUACUUGCUAGUAUUGCUUAAGAGAAUCAUGGAAAAUCAUACCUUAAAAGCCCUACAUUCCUAUUUCCUAAUAAGCUAAGUCAUCCAGUUUUUAUUGCCAGGAUUCAAUAAUGAGUGUGUAUUUGAGUUAGCUAAUUUUAGAGAUACCCGCAAAAUGUCAUUUUCCAGAUCGCGAGGUCUUUGGCAAGUAACUUUAAGAAGAGCAGUGAUUUGCUUUUCGUUCAACCUUUUUGUAUAAUGUUGCUUCUCAACAAUUUUGCAAGCCUGGGGAAUGAGAAGCAGGUAAUAAUAAUGAAUCUAACUAUCAGCAAGAAGAUUGGUUACUUCAAUAUCCAUAAACUUUCCUACCUCCAUAGGUAAAUAGUUUGCCUUCUUUUGGUUUCCAACUUGUAGACAAUGAAGGUGACUGUAUUUAAUAGUGAAACCAUACAUCUCUGAAAAAUAUUCAACAACUGAUUUCAUAGUCGAGUUCUCAUCAACAUGAAGCCUAUAAAGAUAUAACGUCCUUAUAAAGAGAACUGUUGAAAAGAGGAUUUUCUUUUUUUGAAAUUAUUGUAGGACAGUACCAGAAGGAAAAAAUAACUACACUUGUUCUCUUGUUAACCAUCUUAUAGUAGCUCCCUAAAUUGUACAUCAUUAACAUUAAAGAAAAUAGUUUGAACAAACUGUGUUUAUAGAGUACCUUAAUGCGAACAGCAUCAGACAAUUGCCUUGACAGUAAAUCUUUUCCUAGCAGCUGGGCAGCAUACUCCACUACCGGAAGAGGUUCAAUAAAUGCAGCAGAAGCCAUAUCUUGGAAACACAGAAGAGAGUAGAGAGAAAUUUCAUGUUGAAUUGGAGUUGAAUAAGAAACUGAAUUCUAGGGUGAGUACAAUGUCAGAAUUUGGAGUGCCUCACGUGGAGCAUUAGCACGCUUACCAGCAAGAAACUGGGCCAAGUAGAAAAGUGGUACAAAUUUCCCCUAGCAGCAAACUUGAUCACCACUUGUAUGCUUUAUUAAUUAAUUUCUUAGGUACCUCUGUUUCUCUAAUCAUUUUCUAUGAAGAAUCAAGUUCCACGAAACUAAUCGCUGAUGUUAGUAUCAGUUUGCUUGAUAAUUGAUAUGCUAAAAAUAAAGGUGACUCUUCAAUGCAAGCCACGUUAUGGAUACAUUAUUAUAGUCAUCAUGCACAAAGAGGGGCUCGAGAUUUUUUUUUUUAUAUAUUUUGUUAUAAAAGUACUUAAAUUUACUCAUUCUCAUGUUUUUAUUUUCCUAGCCAAAACAAUCACAAAUUUUACAAUUUCCAAUUGGCAAAACACACAUUCAUAAUAGUAAAGUAGACGAGCAUAAAACACAUAUCUAAUCGGUAAGAAGGCUGAUUUGUGUAGCUUAAAUUAAAAAUAUGCAGGCAUUACAAAGUGCAUAUCAAUUCUCAACUCUCAAGAUUUUCCGUUUGUGCUUCUCACAAUAUCUUCUUUCAAUCACUGCUAGAAUCAUCCAUAGUCCUUAAAAGUAAC